rnacentral:lncRNA from 1 species
AAUUGUAGGUGGAGCAGUCUACAAUGUAAGCUACCCCCCCUUCCUCAUCAGACAAUAGCCUUACUUUCCCGCCUUUUUGGGGGUACCUGUAUUGCCCAAUGUACUGAUACCCUAUAGGCAUGAUUGGGGAUCCUAUUGUAAGUUUUAGUGGAUGAGUGAUUUUCUUUUGUUCGGGGUCUGUGCACCCAGAGCUGCUAUAGCAGGGACAGAGAGACAUUGUAGAUUGGAGAGAGAGGAGAGAAGCACUAAUUUGUGCCUGCUAAUGGAGAUUGUUAUUUACUUCUGGCAGAUCACAAUUCAUGGCUGCAUGUGGUGAAAUCUCCUUAUUUUGAUGAACUACACUUUCUACAAUAAGGUGGAAGCUUUGUUUAUGAUCAGGGGUCGGACGACAGCAUAUAGCGUUAGUGUUGCUUCGUCGUUAUAGUAUUGGCCGGGGCUGUGUUUUCUUUGGUGAAUAAAUGCAAGACUAAAGUUUA